UACGAAGGGGGCUAGCGUUGCUCGGAAUCACUGGGCGUAAAGCGCACGUAGGCGGCGUCGUAAGUCAGGGGUGAAAUCCCGGAGCUCAACUCCGGAACUGCCUUUGAAACUGCAAUGCUAGAAUCUUGGAGAGGCGAGUGGAAUUCCGAGUGUAGAGGUGAAAUUCGUAGAUAUUCGGAAGAACACCAGUGGCGAAGGCGACUCGCUGGACAAGUAUUGACGCUGAGGUGCGAAAGCGUGGGGAGCAAACAGG
rnacentral:rRNA from 1 species